rnacentral:lncRNA from 1 species
AGCUGGGCCCACCCCUGCAGCCCGAUCAGCUUCUGAGCCCCUGCAGGAAGGGGUAGGGGGUUGGCACAGCCCUUGAGUCCUGGCAAGUGCAGCUGUCUCCAGGUGGGAGGCCCCUCAGGCAGCCUCGGGGUUCAGGUGGCCUGGGUUGGAGGAGGUCACCGCCAGGUUGGAGGCUAAGGUGGGGCUGCAGCCAUGAAGGGGAAGUGGAGCUGGGAAAUGAACAAGAAUGAAUUGGUGGUGGUGGCUAAUGGGAAGAGACCUUGAUCUAUCCCAGGCAGCCACCUGUGAGCUACAUUCUGGGAAAAGCCUAGCCAGGUGGCCUGGGACCAAGAUAACCAACUUUGGGUCAAACUUGUCUCCAGUCCCUAGUUCCACCUGGGCAAGAAUGUUGCACACACAGUUUCAAUCCCCAAGUGUUACCUUACCCCCGAGCUCUGCUGAUCAGACCUGCUAUCUUCCCAGGGAGAACUUGAGGAACCCUGGAUUGGGCUCUUGUAUUAGGGCCCACCCCUAUCAGCCAGCCUCAGGGACCUGCCCACCCUCAUCCUUUUCCCCUGCCCUGUUUUGGGUAUUUCUCUCUCCUUGUAGGAGAAAGACACAACAUGGUGCCUGAGCAUGAGAGAUUUUGCAGGGUUCAUAAGCAGAGAACUUGUAUUUUCCACCCCACCCACAUACUCCCCUGCCUCAUUGUGGCUACCUCUUCUGAGUAGCACCCACUAUGUGCCACCAUACCACAGUCCAUGGAUCUCAGCCUUCUCCUGACACCACACUGUGGGAAAGUUGGUAUUUGCUUGCUUGCUGCGCUCCCAUGGGCUGUGGCACAGAUAAGAUAGACGGCAGCCUGUGUGCAAAUUCCCAGGGGAUUAGCUAUCACUCCACCCCUUUAUCUCCCAUUAGGAAGGCCUUGGGGAAUGCCAGUGGGAGAGAGGGAUGUCAUUGCAGAGAAAACACUGAAUUCACUGAUAUUUAUCCCCCCUCCCCAAGUUUCAACUUUCUCUGAUUUAACUGUUUAUAGCUAUACAUUAUUGGUCACACACUUAACAGUUUUCUGAGACGUGGUAUGUCCCAGUGCUGACCCUUAGCCAUCUCUUAGCAGAUUCUCACAAAAGUGUGAGGUGGAUGUUACCAUAUUAUUAUUGCCCCGAUUUUAUCCCCAGAUGAAGACACUGGGUCUCAGAGAGGACAAGAAACUUGCCAAAGACCACACCGCAAUUAACCAGAGAAUCAGGAAUUUAUCCCAGGGCCACCUGACUGAAGGUCCAGCUGAGCCUGUGCAAUUUCAGGCUUAGCCAGGAGUGGAGCUUUGGAGGGACUGGGGAAUGAAAGGUGUUGGAGUGGGGUUCAUCUGUAAACUAAAGGAAAUAAUUCCUCAUAAACCUGCCGUGAAAAUCACAUGCAAUCCGUGUGGCCAGCACUUUGAAUAGUGAAUGCUAGCACAUAAUAAGUGCUCAAGAAACACGGGGGAAUAAAGGUGGGGUUUGUGUGGACAGUCAGCUGGGAGAGAGCUGAUGCCAGGACCUAUCUCUACUGAAUGGGGUCAAAGAUGCUUUGAGUAGCCCUAGCUGCACUCCAACAAUAACAUUUUCAAGGCAAACUGGAUUUCAGAGGUACUUAUCCCUUCUGGCUGCAACCGCUAUCUACCUGCCAAGUUUUGCGAAGAAUCUUCAUGACUCCUCUUGAUCCGGUGGGUUCUGUAACUUUCUUUUGGAACUGACUUUCAUUUGGCCUCUCCAAGUUUUUGUGUUGUUUUCUGUUUACUUUUUAGCAAAAGAACUGUGAAACCUGAGGUCACAGCUUCAUCCAUGAUUUGACCUCCUUACUUCUUGAGCUACUCCUUCAGGCCCUGGAGCCCAGACUGGGUCCCGGCAGUGUGAACAGGAGAAAGAGCUCUCUGUAUAGCAUCCCCUCUUCUCGCCAUUUCCUAGCACCCCAUUCUCCUUGGCUUUCCACACUGGCGUUUGAUAAUACUGCACUUGUUGGCCUGUCCCAGCUAACUAGAACAGUCUCCUCCAGGCCUCACCAUGGCUCACUCCUUUAUCUCCUUCAAAUGUCCUAAUCACCCUAUUUAAAAUUGCAUACUCCACCCUUAGCCUGUAUCCUAUCCUCUUCCCCUGAUUUCAUUUAUUACCUGACACCAAAUAUGUUUUAUUUAUUUUCUGUCUCCACCCA